GCGCUACUCACGGGAGAACAUGUAACUACACUUCUAGCGCGAUUUUUUCUCCCUGACGGUUAUGUGCGCGGCCGAACUUAGUACACGAUUCGCCGACGGUGUAACGGCCCUGAAAAACACUUGUGAAGUUCAGCCACGUGUAAAUUUCGUGCCACGGCGAAACUCAGUGUUCGCUUCAGUUUGCAAAUCUGCUGUCAAGAUGGAAGCGUAUUGCAGGGUUCGUAUUUUCGUCCAGUGAAUUAGAAUGAACGAAGUGAGAGCAACAACACGUAACCUCAAGAACUGGUUUCGUGUCCAGAUUGCCUCAGAAAUUGCAGACUAACCAAGUUGGUAGAGCCAUGUGACGAACGGAAGAUAUAUGUAGGGUGCAACGACGGAAGCGAGAAGAACGGAAUCUUUCUGAAAGGGUGGAGCAGACUAAGAUUCAUAUGAAAUUCUUCGGUUAUGAGACUGGAGAAUUGGUCAAUGAGGGCAGAUACAUCUCCAAGGCCAUAGGAAAGACACACAAACGCCACUGAAGCGAUAAGGCAACAGCAACAUCCGUGGAUAUGGGUUCAGAAAAGAUAGUGUGUCGAAGGCCCGGGAUUAUUGGAACAGAGUGUGGAAUCAACAUUUCUCGCCUUCCAGGAGACUAAUACAAUAUAUGAACAUUGUGUGCAGCGCACAGGUGUGCUGACAAAUGGAAGCUGAGAAGCGGAAAUACUCGUAUAUACAUAAAAUUCGGAAACACUGAAUCUUCUAAUUUCCAGCCAUGGGAAGACAUCCGAGGAAGUGAUUCAGAAGACUAAACAGGCGCAGCUGAAGAAAUGUGAUAGGUUUUAAUUGGUAUGCAAAACUAGACAAUCCGUUACGAUGCUAACGUUUAUUGCAGUCUUGGAUGACACAAUGGUUUUGCAGAGCUGGUGUUCCGCUAUGAACAGACAUCAAAUUGUGUGAUAAUUUUGAAACAUGGGUCCCAAUCCUUCCUUGCUCUGAAAAGUAUUGGCAUUAUAUUCGUAGUAGGCUACUUUAUGAAUCUGUUAGUCAGACUUACAUUAUUUACAUUACAAUGAUGUUUAUGUA